AACGGCGAGUGAAGCGGCAAAAGCUCAAAUUUGAAAUCUGGCCUCUUCGAGGCCCGAGUUGUAAUUUGUAGAGGAUGCUUCGGGUGUGGCCGCGGUCUAAGUCCCCUGGAACGGGGCGUCGCAGAGGGUGAGAAUCCCGUCUUCGGCCGGCCGGCUGCGCCCGUGUGAAGCUCCUUCGACGAGUCGAGUUGUUUGGGAAUGCAGCUCUAAAUGGGUGGUAAAUUUCAUCUAAAGCUAAAUACUGGUCGGAGACCGAUAGCGCACAAGUAGAGUGAUCGAAAGAUGAAAAGCACUUUGAAAAGAGAGUUAAACAGCAUGUGAAAUUGUUGAAAGGGAAGCGCUUGCGACCAGAGUCGGCCGCGGGGGUUCAGCGGGCAUUCGUUGCCCGUGCACUCCCCCGGGGCCGGGCCAGCGUCGGUUUCGACGGCCGGUCAAAGGCCCCCGGAAUGUGUCGCCUCUCGGGGCGUCUUAUAGCCGGGGGUGCAAUGCGGCCAGUCGGGACCGAGGAACGCGCUUCGGCACGGACGCUGGCUUAAUGGUCGUAAGCGACCCGUCUUGAAACACGGACCAAGGAGUCUAACAUCCACGCGAGUGUUCGGGUGUCAAACCCGUCCGCGCAGUGAAAGCGAACGGAGGUGGGAACCCUCAAGGGUGCACCAUCGACCGAUCCUGAAGUCUUCGGAUGGAUUUGAGUAAGAGCGUGGCUGUUGGGACCCGAAAGAUGGUGAACUAUGCCUGAAUAGGGUGAAGCCAGAGGAAACUCUGGUGGAGGCUCGCAGCGGUUCUGACGUGCAAAUCGAUCGUCAAAUUU
rnacentral:rRNA from 1 species